UCUCAGCCCCAUGAUUCUAUGAGUCUGUGA
rnacentral:piRNA from 1 species